rnacentral:rRNA from 1 species
AAAUUGAAGAGUUUGAUCAUGGCUCAGAUUGAACGCUGGCGGCAGGCCUAACACAUGCAAGUCGAACGGUAACAGGAAGCGCUUGCUGCUUCGCUGACGAGUGGCGGACGGGUGAGUAAUGUCUGGGAAACUGCCUGAUGGAGGGGGAUAACUACUGGAAACGGUAGCUAAUACCGCAUAACGUCGCAAGACCAAAGAGGGGGACCUUCGGGCCUCUUGCCAUCGGAUGUGCCCAGAUGGGAUUAGCUUGUUGGUGGGGUAACGGCUCACCAAGGCGACGAUCCCUAGCUGGUCUGAGAGGAUGACCAGCCACACUGGAACUGAGACACGGUCCAGACU